rnacentral:piRNA from 1 species
UGCGGUGAGUAAACAGAUGCAUGGUU